rnacentral:rRNA from 1 species
AGGAUUAGAUACCCUGGUAGUCCACGCCGUAAACGAUGAGAACUAGCCGUUGGACAUCUUGCAUGUUUAGUGGCGCAGCUAACGCGAUAAGUUCUCCGCCUGGGGAGUACGGCCGCAAGGUUAAAACUCAAAUGAAUUGACGGGGGCCCGCACAAGCGGUGGAGCAUGUGGUUUAAUUCGACGCAACGCGAAGAACCUUACCUACACUUGACAUCCUCGGAACUUUCUAGAGAUAGAUUGGUGCCUUCGGGAACCGAGUGACAGGUGCUGCAUGGCUGUCGUCAGCUCGUGUCGUGAGAUGUUGGGUUAAGUCCCGUAACGAGCGCAACCCUUAUCCUUAUUUGCCAGCGGUUCGGCCGGGAACUCUAAGGAGACUGCCGAUGACAAAUCGGAGGAAGGUGGGGACGACGUCAAGUCAUCAUGGCCCUUACGUGUAGGGCUACACACGUGCUACAAUGGUCGGUACAAACGGUUGCGAACCCGCAAGGGGAAGCCAAUCCGAGAAAGCCGAUCGUAGUCCGGAUUGGGGUCUGCAACUCGACCCCAUGAAGUCGGAAUCGCUAGUAAUCGUGAAUCAGAAUGUCACGGUGAAUACGUUCCCGGGCCUUGUACACACCGCCCGUCACACCAUGGGAGUGGGUUGCACCAGAAGUGGCUAGUCUAACUUCGGAGGACGGUCACCACGGUGUGAUUCAUGACUGGGGUGAAGUCGUAACAAGGUAACCGUAGGGGAACCUGCGGUUG